rnacentral:rRNA from 1 species
AGGAUGAACGCUGGCGGCGUGCCUAAAACAUGCAAGUCAUACGGGCUAACCUUCGGGUAGCCAGUGGCAAACGGGUGAGUAACACGUGGGAACGCGCCUCGGGUGGGGAAUAACGCUGAGAAAUCGAGUGCUAAUACCGCAUAUGGUCUAACGACUAAAGCAGCAAUGCGCCCGGAGAGCGGCCCGGCGACCGAUUAGCUAGUUGGUGGGGUAAUGGCCUACCAAGGCGGUGAUCGGUAGCUGGU